AUUAAUAUUCUUACUUUACAUUAUAUUAUGUUUAUCAACAUUUAAUUAUUAUUUCAGAAUAAUAAUUACUAAAGACGAUUUCUUAAAUAUUAUUUAGUUGUACAGACACGGCGAUCGGUCAAUUGAGCGUACUUAUACAAACGACCCGUACGCUAAUAAAUCUUAUUGGCCAAUGGGAUUUGGCCAACUAACUCCUUCUGGAAUAGAAAAGCAAUUUAAACUGGGAAAAUGGUUGAGAAAACGGUACAGUGAAUGGUUGCCGGAAGUGUAUUCUGCAGAAGACGUUUAUGUGCGGAGCUCUGACUACGAUCGGACCAUAAUGAGUGCCCAAGCUAAUCUAGCCGGUUUGUAUCCUCUCGUGGGACCUAGGGAUUGGAACAUGGAACCUGGAAAGCACAUUCAACUAGUUCCAAUACACACUGUGCCAAAGUCCAUGGAUAACUUACUGUUAAUGUCAGAGUCAUGUCCACUCUAUUCACAGGAGUUGGAUAAGGUAGUAAACGAUUUCGAGGUACAAAAAUUUUACGCUCAGUUUAGUUCGGCGUUAAAAUAUAUGGAAAAAAAUAGCAACCUUGAAAUGGGUAAAAAAACGGUCAUCAAAUCUACUACGUUGCUAUAUGAUGCACUUCUCGUAGAGUCACAGUUCAACUACAUAUUACCGAAGUGGACUAAAAGUAUAUUUCCUGAACCAUUAUUGACAAUAGCUAAAGAAAAUGAAGAAUUGGCGACACACACUAAUACUUUGAAAAGAUUAAAAACUGGUCCUUUACUUAACGAGGUUGUAACCCAUAUGUACGAAAAGAAAAAUGGUACCCUGAGUCCUAACAGAAUGCUUUGGGUUUAUUCAGCUCAUGAUACUACUAUGGUUAAUUUACUCAACGCUUUUGAACUAUACGAACAUUUACUGGUGCCCUAUGCAGCUGUCUUGAUGAUUGAACUUCGGUUAAACACUACAGGAAAUUAUGUUGUCACAAUAUCGUAUCGAAACACAAGUAACCGUGAACCAUAUUUACUGCAUGUACCUGGUUGCGAUUCCGUCGCUUGCGAACUAGAUAUAUUUAUUGAUGUUUUAAGACCAUUAAUAUCAGUUGACUGGGAUGUUGAGUGCAAAUCUGAUGUAGAAAAUCAUAUUUUAACAUUUUUCAACAUUAUAACUAUUAUUGUAAUAAUAUUGGUAUCGUGUGUGAUUGCUGGAAAAAUAUUAUCCCUCUUUAAGAAAAAGUCAGGUUACCAAACAUUUUAAAUUUGCCUUUUGGAUCUAUAACACAUAAAUCAAAUAAAUGCAACUUAUGAACCGAUUUAUGUGCCAUAUGUUUUCGUAGAAGUUAUUUUUUUAUUGUGACAUUAUCAAACCAUCGUAGACCAAUUUUAAUUAAAAACACAUGGUAUGCUUGUAGUGGUAUGUUCACUGUUAAAAUUAAUAAUUUCAUUCAAACUUCAAUUUAUAAGUGUCAUCAAUGGGUGGCUGCUUUUAUCAAGAUAUUCAUGUAUUUUGUUUUUAUAUUUUAGCUAAUACUCUUAUUGUACCCACGAGGUACAGAUUGUGUAUGUAAUAAUAAUAAAGAAAAAAAAA